CCGGCUGAGAUUCUAGAGA
rnacentral:piRNA from 1 species